GAGAGAGAGAGAGAUAGAGAGAGAGAGAGAGGAGAGUGCACUUUCUGCUACACUGUGACAAAUAUCGGUCCCAAAGAGACAAAUAUUUCACCACUUUGAACAACAUCAUUCCCAACUUCACAAAA